AAAGCAUCUAAGCACGAAACUUGCCCCGAGAUGAGUUCUCCCUGACUCCUUGAGGGUCCUGAAGGAACGUUGAAGACGACGACGUUGAUAGGCCGGGUGUGUAAGCGCAGCGAUGCGUUGAGCUAACCGGUACUAAUGAACCGUGAGGCUUAACCUUACAACGCCGAAG
rnacentral:rRNA from 1 species